rnacentral:rRNA from 1 species
ACGUUAGCGGCGGACGGGUGAGUAACACGUUGGUAACCUACCUAUAAGACUGGGAUAACUUCGGGAAACCGGAGCUAAUACCUGAUAAUAUUUCGAACCGCAUGGUUCGAUAGUGAAAGGUGGUUUUGCUAUCACUUAUAGAUGGACCCGCGCCGUAUUAGCUAGUUGGUAAGGUAACGGCUUACCAAGGCGACGAUACGUAGCCGACCUGAGAGGGUGAUCGGCCACACUGGAACUGAGACACGGUCCAGACUCCUACGGGAGGCAGCAGGC